AGUGAACGCUGGCGGUAGGCCUAACACAUGCAAGUCGAACGGCAGCACAGAGGAGCUUGCUCCUUGGGUGGCGAGUGGCGGACGGGUGAGGAAUACAUCGGAAUCUACUCUGUCGUGGGGGAUAACGUAGGGAAACUUACGCUAAUACCGCAUACGACCUACGGGUGAAAGCAGGGGACCUUCGGGCCUUGCGCGAUUGAAUGGGCCGAUGUCGGAUUAGCUAGUUGGCGGGGUAAAGGCCCACCAAGGCGACGAUCCGUAGCUGGUCUGAGAGGAUGAUCAGCCACACUGGAACUGAGACACGGUCCAGACUCCUACGGGAGGCAGCAGUGGGGAAUAUUGGACAAUGGGCGCAAGCCUGAUCCAGCCAUACCGCGUGGGUGAAGAAGGCCUUCGGGUUGUAAAGCCCUUUUGUUGGGAAAGAAAUCCAGCUGGCUAAUACCCGGUUGGGAUGACGGUACCCAAAGAGUAAGCACCGGCUAACUUCGUGCCAGCAGCCGCCGUAA
rnacentral:rRNA from 1 species